GAACCUGCCGCAGGUUCGGGACUCACGCAGUGAGACAACGGAGCCGCUUGCGGCGACGGCCCGAAGGGCGAGCGAAGCGAGUCAUCCUGCACGACCCACCA
rnacentral:sRNA from 4 species